AUUGAACGCUGGCGGCAGGCUUAACACAUGCAAGUCGAGCGGGGGAGGUUGCUUCGGUAACUGACCUAGCGGCGGACGGGUGAGUAAUGCUUAGGAAUCUGCCUAUUAGUGGGGGACAACAUUCCGAAAGGGAUGCUAAUACCGCAUACGCCCUACGGGGGAAAGCAGGGGAUCUUCGGACCUUGCGCUAAUAGAUGAGCCUAAGUCGGAUUAGCUAGUUGGUGGGGUAAAGGCCUACCAAGGCGACGAUCUGUAGCGGGUCUGAGAGGAUGGUCCGCCACACGGGGACUGAGACACGGCCCAGACUCCUACGGGAGGCAGCAGUGGGGAAUAUUGGACAAUGGGCGGAAGCCUGAUCCAGCCAUGCCGCGUGUGUGAAGAAGGCCUUUUGGUUGUAAAGCACUUUAAGCGAGGAGGAGGCUACUAGUACUAAUACUACUGGAUAGUGGACGUUACUCGCAGAAUAAGCACCGGCUAACUCUGUGCCAGCCGCCGCAGUAAGAC
rnacentral:rRNA from 1 species